UUUGGCAAUGGUAGAACUCACACCGGUAAGGUAACGGGACCCGGUGGUUCUAGACUUGCCAACUA
rnacentral:pre_miRNA from 1 species